CGUGGGUAACCUGCCCAAGAGAUCGGGAUAACACCUGAAACAGAUGCUAAUACCGGAUAACAACAGAUGAUGCCUAUCAACUGUUUAAAAGAUGGUUCUGCUAUCACUCUUGGAUGGACCUGCGGUGCAUUAGCUAGUUGGUAGGGUAACGGCCUACCAAGGCGAUGAUGCAUAGCCGAGUUGAGAGACUGAUCGGCCACAUUGGGACUGAGACACGGCCCAAACUCCUACGGGAGGCAGCAGCC
rnacentral:rRNA from 1 species